rnacentral:rRNA from 1 species
AUUGAACGCUGGCGGCAGGCCUAACACAUGCAAGUCGAACGAGUGGCGGACGGGUGUAUAAUAUCUGGGACACUGCCAGAUGGAGGGGUAUCACUACUGGAAACUGUCUCUAAUCCCGCAUACCAUCGGAUGUGCCCAGAUGGGAUUAGCUAGUAGGUGGGGUAAUGGCUCACCUAGGCGACGAUCCCUAGCUGGUCUGAGAGGAUGACCAGCCACACUGGAACUGAGACACGGUCCAGACUCCUACGGGAGGCAGCAGUGGGGAAUAUUGCACAAUGGGCGCAAGCCUGAUGCAGCCAUGCCGCGUGUAUGAAGAAGGCCUUCGGGUUGUAAAGUACUUUCAGCGAGGAGGCGUUACUCGCAGAAGAAGCACCGGCUAACUCCGUGCCAGCAGCCGCGGUAAUUC